UCGGUACUCAUGCAAUCUCGGGCUUGGUUAGUACUUGGAUGGGUGACCGCUUGGGAAUACCAAGAGUGAUAAGCA
rnacentral:rRNA from 1 species